GGAACUGAGGCCGGGAUGUAGCUCGGUGAUGAAACACUUGUGCUUACUUUGCGCAAAGCUUCCGGGGCUCACACAGAGAGAAGCAGUUGGAUCUCUGUGAGUUCCUGGUCUACACAGGAAGUUCCAGGUCAGCCAAGGAUGCAUAAUGAGACCCUUUCUCAGAAACAAAUUAACAAACAAAACCCUCUCUGCACAAGGCCCUUGGUUCAGUCCCCAGGAAUCCAGAGGCUUUCUGCCCAAAAUAGCGUUUACAUCACAGUAAUGCACUCUGGACCCUUUCCCUGCAAAGUUCCCGAGUGAGACAGGGACUACAGCACUGGCUGCUCCAGAAGCUCCAGACAGUUCAAGUCUUGUCAAGCUUUUUCCCCCUUCCUGAGACAAUGUCUCACAGUUCAGGCUGGCCUGAAACUUCCUUCCAUAACCCAGGCUGGCCUUAGCCUCAUACUCUUCCUGCCCCAGCCUUCUGAUGGCGGAAAUCAUGGACAUGCACACGCAAGCUAGGCUCUGUCUUGUUCUCUCUCUACCCUUUCUCUCCAGAUAGGGACUCGUGUAUCCCAGGCCUGGUCCUCCUGCCUCAACCUCCCAUGUUCUGAGAAUACUGAUGUGUGCCACCAUGCCUGGUUUAUGUGUUGCUAGGCAUCAAACACAGGGUUUCAUGCAAACUAGGCCAGCACUUGCCAAAUGUCUUACAUUCCCUAGCCUCAACUCUUUUUGGUUUUGGUACUGUUGUUUUUAAAUUUUAUUUGUUGUAUUUUUGUGAUUUGAGUGUUUUGCCCGCAUGGAAGUACGUGUACCAUGUUUGUACCUAGUGCCCAAAGAGAACACUGGACUCCUCCAGAAAGGGGAACUGAACAAAUACUGAACUAUCUCACUCUUUUGUGUUUUUGAGACAGGGUCUUGCUAUGUAGCCCAGGUUAGCCCCUAACUCAUGGCAUUUUCUCUUUCCAGCUCCAUUUUCAGGCACACUCCUUCCCUGACAGGGCCAGAUGGCCUCCAGUACCUCCAGAUAUACAUCAAGACAGACAAGGUCUUACUAUACAGAGCAGGCUGGCCUCACAGAGAUCUGCCCACCUCUGUCUCCUGAGGACUGGGAUUACAGGCAUAUACCACCAUGUCCAUCCAGACCAUACUGGCAGCAGGACACAUGGCUCAACAGCACAGAGGCUCUCUGCGUCAGCUUCCCAGUUUCAAGGAUGGCCUGAAGGUGAAGGGAAUGUGGAGAGAUAGGUCAUACCGCCCAUUUCCCUUGUGGGGCCUCAACAGAGACCCUGGGCCUGAUGAUCCAGUAUGAUUGGAAUUAGCCUCUGUCCAAGAGAAGGUCUUUCUACGAAACCCAGGGUUAGCUGGAACUUGCUUGGACCUUGUUCAGAUGCUCUUCCCUCAGGCUGGCGAUUACAGCCCAACAAACAUUUUUGCUGUUCGAACCUGUCUGAUAUCCAGAUUCAGAGCGUGAGAUCCAAGAGGCACCAGGUGAUACAGAGCUGGAACUAUUGGCUCUUGGGUUGCAUUUCAGAGACCAAGUUGCAAAAGGUAGAGAGCAAAUCCAACGGAAUCCAUUGCUUGAGUGGACUGGGUUGUGAUUGCAUGGGAUAAAAUCUGAACAGCCAAAGUAGAGGGUAAGAAUUGUGUGCUUUUAUAAUUCUCAGGUCUCUGUGCUAUG